CCCCGCUCCGUGAGGCGCUGCCGCCGGGGGGGGCUCGCUGUCCCGGCACUGCCCGCUGGGCUUUUCCAAACUGGGGCCAAACUGCCCCCUUCGUCCCGGUGGCGGCGCCAGGAGCUCCUCGCCGCCCGGGAUGGGGUUGUGCGAUUGCCCUUGCGCCGCCCUUUCCUUCCCGGGGGAUCCCCAGCGCCGUGUCUCCUUUGCCCUUCAGCAGUCAGGGGAAAUAUUGAACAUUAAGUAACAUGUCUUCCACCAAACCUCCAAAUGAAGAUGGAGCACCCAAAGAAAGAAAACCAGGACUGAGGAGUGUUCAGACAACUAUGCUUUUCCGAGCUGUGAACCCAGAGCUUUUCAUUAAACCUAACAAACCUGUGAUGGCAUUUGGACUGAUAGCAAUUAGCCUCUGUGUGGCCUACCUUGGUUAUUUGCAUGCAACAACAGAGAAUAAAAAGGACCUCUACGAAGCAAUCGACAGUGAGGGGUCCAGGUACAUGAGGAGGAAAACGUCCAAGUGGGACUGAGAAUGUUACUGAAUUCAGAAUAAGGAAUGACCCAACAAGGGCUCCCAGGAAACUGAGAGACCUCUUUUUCAACCUUUUUCUAACCAAGGUGGCUUCUGUCAGGCCAGAGGAAGAACAUGCAGGAACUCCUGCUUUGCCAUUCUGGGAGUAGCUUUGGGUUUUAUCAAAAGAUUUUGGUACUGGAGAUAAAAAAGGUGACUGACUGCCUUGAGGGAUAGCAGUUUCACCAUGGGAAUUCUCUGUAUCUCCCUCUAAGUCCUUCACUUUGAAUCUGACACAGCUGGGAUGUUUUAUCCUGAACCUCACCUUCUUAUACCUGAUUCUGGCUCCUGACCUUAUACGGAAGAUCUCUACAAUCUCUUGAGAUGGUGCUCGUCUAUAGAAGGCUUGCUGACCUCUCCUGGAUAAAGACUCCUAAAUGGUUUGGAAUGCUGUAUUUGUUAAUGAGAGAAAUCUGAUCUCCAUCACCAGCUGGACUGAUCCUUUCAUCUGUUACAGACUACAUUAGACGAAACUGAUUGCUGUAGUCAAGAGCAACAAAUUCCCAUUCCAGCUCACAAACCAUGUGAAAGAAACUGUAUUUCAAAGCAUGACUCAGAUAAGGCAGUAAUACUGGGUUCAGUUCAGUAAGCUGAGCUUUUUAAGUGAAAGCUUGGAAUUACUAACUUUGCUGCCAAGGGAAAGUUCUUAUUCUUUUAAUUCUGCUGCCAAAAAGGGCUCUAGUGGCAUUUACUGGAGAGUUCCUGGGUGACUUUGCUGGAAACCUGGCAAUGUUACAGAAACCACCAGCCACCCAGUCUGCAGCAUAUGGGACAUGAACUGUAAUUCACUGACAUUAUUGCUGGUCAAUUAGAGGUGCACCCGUGUGACUGAGGCCUUGAUCUGUGUCUCUGCUGUGCAAGCUGACACAUGCUCUUGCAGGUUUGCCAGUUCUGCUCUGAGCUCUGCAGAGACCAUCCUCUGCAGGGCUUUCACCAGGGACAAUGGGGAGUUGGAUUCAUUUCAUAGUAUGAUGUGGGACCACUGUGAUCUCGCCUGAGGAUUCCUGGGAAGCUGCCAAAAGAACAGCAAAACUUUCUUUUAUUCCACUCAGAAGAAAAAUAACCUGGCAUUCUCUACACACACCAUACUAGCAGAGCUCUUUCAGUAUGUGCCCCCAAUCUUUGUAGCUUUAAAUCCAAGGUUAAGAUGUUGGAAUGUACACAGUUCAAAGAUCCUCCUGAACAAAAAGCUUCUAAUACUGUAAAAGCCUGAAAGCCUUUCAGUUUCAUAUGUUCCUGUGCUUGAUUCUAUCUAAGCAGCAAUAUGUUGAGUGACUUGGAGUGGAUCUUGAAAGUCAGGCAGUGUAAAAGGAUAUACAUGGUAUUAAAAGACUUCUUGAAAGAACUGAGCUCGUUUGGGAGUGAAUAAUAGGGAUUGAAGUCUGUAAGCCCUAUAAGUUUCUA